rnacentral:rRNA from 1 species
UACAGAGGUCUCAAGCGUUGUUCGGAUUCAUUGGGCGUAAAGGGUGCGUAGGCGGCGCGGUAAGUCGGGUGUGAAAUCUCGGGGCUUAACUCCGAAACUGCAUUCGAUACUGCCGUGCUUGAGGACUGGAGAGGAGACUGGAAUUUACGGUGUAGAGGUGAAAUGCGUAGAUAUCGUAAGGAAGACCAGUGGCGAAGGCGGGUCUCUGGACAGUUCCUGACGCUGAGGCACGAAGGUCAGGGGAGCAAACGGG